rnacentral:rRNA from 1 species
CACGUAGUUAGCCGGUGCUUCUUUACCCAUUACCGUCACUCACGCUUCGUCACAGGCGAAAGCGGUUUACAACCCGAAGGCCGUCAUCCCGCACGCGGCGUUGCUGCAUCAGGCUUCCGCCCAUUGUGCAAUAUUCCCACUGCUGCCUCCCGUAGGAGUCUGGGCCGUAUCUCAGUCCCAAUGUGGCCGGUCACCCUCUCAGGCCGGCUACCCGUCAAAGCCUUGGUAAGCCACUACCCCCACCAACAAGCUGAUAAGCCGCGAGUCCAUCCCCAACCGCCGAAACUUUCCAACCCCCACCAUGCAGCAGGAGCUCCUAUCCGGUAUUAGCCCCAGUUUCCUGAAGUUAUCCCAAAGUCAAGGGCAGGUUACUCACGUGUUACUCACCCGUUCGCCACUCGAGCACCCCACAAAAGCAGGGCCUUUCCGUUCGACCUGCAUGUGUUAAGCACGCCGCCAGCGUCGUCCUGAGCCAGAGUCAAACUACU